UCUGAGAGGAUGAACGGCCACAAUGGAACUGAGACACGGUCCAUACUCCUACGGGAGGCAGCAGUGGGGAAUAUUGCACAAUGGGGGAAACCCUGAUGCAGCAACGCCGCGUGAGUGAAGAAGGUUUUCGGAUUGUAAAGCUCUGUUAGCAGGGAAGAGGAAGGACGGUACCUGCAGAGGAAGCCACGGCUAACUACGUGCCAGCAGCCGCGGUAAUACGUAGGUGGCAAGCGUUGUUCGGAAUAACUGGGCGUAAAGGAUGCGUAGGCGGUUGAGUAAGUUAUGUGUUAAAUAUAUAGGCUUAACCUGUAGAAAGCACAUAAAACUGUUUAACUAGAGUGCAGGAGAGGUAAGUGGAAUUCCUAGUGUAGCGGUGAAAUGCGUAGAGAUUAGGAAGAACACCAGUGGCGAAGGCGACUUACUGGACUGUAACUGACGCUGAGGCAUGAGAGCAUGGGGAGCAAACAGGAUUAGAUACCCUGGUAGUCCAUGCUGUAAACGAUGGGUACUAGGUGUGGGUUGUGAAUAACA
rnacentral:rRNA from 1 species